GCAGUUAGAAAUCUUCGGCAGUUAACUGCAGCCAGAUUUCUAAAACUUCGGCAGUUAACUGCCGAAGGACAU
rnacentral:pre_miRNA from 1 species